rnacentral:rRNA from 1 species
GUGGGGGAUAUUGCACAAUGGGCGAAAGCCUGAUGCAGCGACGCCGCGUGAGGGAAGAAGGUUUUCGGAUUGUAAACCUCUGUCUUCGGGGACGAAAUAAAUGACGGUACCCGAGGAGGAAGCUCCGGCUAACUACGUGCCAGCAGCCGCGGUAAUACGUAGGGAGCAAGCGUUGUCCGGAAUUACUGGGUGUAAAGGGAGCGUAGGCGGGUACGCAAGUUGAAUGUUAAAUCCAGAGGCUUAACUUCUGGCUGCGUUCAAAACUGCGUAUCUUGAGUGAAGUAGAGGCAGGCGGAAUUCCUAGUGUAGCGGUGAAAUGCGUAGAUAUUAGGAGGAACACCAGUGGCGAAGGCGGCCUGCUGGGCUUUUACUGACGCUGAGGCUCGAAAGCAUGGGUAGCAAACAGGA